rnacentral:tRNA from 1 species
GGGAGUGUAGCUCAGUGGCAGAGCAUUCGACUGCAGAUCAAGGGGUCGGUGGUUCAAAUCCGCCCGCUCCUU